UACGUAGGGUGCAAGCGUUAAUCGGAAUUACUGGGCGUAAAGCGUGCGCAGGCGGUUGUGCAAGGCAGAUGUGAAAGCCCACGGCUCAACCGUGGAGGGUCAUUCGAUACUGUCGGACUCGAAGGCAGGAGAGGGAAGCGGAAUUCCCGGUGUAGUGGUGAAAUGCGUAGAUAUCGGGAGGAACACCAGUGGCGAAGGCGAGUCCCUGGACAACACCUGACACUGAGGCACGAAAGCUAGGGGAGCAAACAGG
rnacentral:rRNA from 1 species